CUUUUCACCUCACCCUAUCCAAGAAUGUUUAUUUACGUUUUGAAAUGUCAAGAUUGCCUGCAGGCAGCUCCGAAAAACUUUCAGUAGCAAACAAUAUUUCGAUUGCCACGAAAAUCCAUGGUCGAUUUUUUUGUAGCCACAUUAAUUUAAACUUUAAUUCAGCUUGCCACACUUGAAUUAAACUUCAAUUCGCAUAAUCAACGAACACGGAAUACUUAGAUUUGCGCAGUUUCGGAAAUUUAGAGGAACUCAAUUGGAGUAAUUGCUGAAGUGAGCUCAUCAUACCGCAUCAAUCAUGUCAGCACAGAAAACCAAAUUUGAAAAAGCAGACUCUAGGAACCUCCCGUUAAUACUGGAAGACACCAUUAUAAAGUUUUAUGCAACGAAUCCGAAUUUUUUGAGUUCUGAAUCCAAACAAGUUAAAAUGCAAAGAUCUGGAAGAAAAAGCUAUGGUGAUAUGGCGGUAGGAUUUGUGAAACUUCAACGGUUCGGUGAAAAAUGUAGGAUUGUAGCGAGUAUUACCCCGGAACACAAAAUAACUCAGCGCCCAUACGAUGUCUCAUUGACCAUAAAUGAAGCGAAUGGAUUGAUUGAAGAUUUCUCUUGCGAAUGUGAAGCAAACAUGGAGAAACUCGAAACAAUCCGACAAAUUUGGUUUAGAAAACGAACAGAUGAAACAAUAUGUAUAUGACAUAGGGUACAUGUCCCAAUGGCGUUGUUAGUACCAGUAGUUGUGCUAGUGAAUUAGUGUUUCAAAAGUUUUCAACUGAUAGAAGUAAUGUCUGUUCUAUUAAAAAACAUCUGUUUGAAAUGUAUUAAAAUAAUUAUACCUAUGAAAUUAUCACGAUGCGUAUAACAGAUAUUAUUUCCUGUCUCGAGAUAAAAAUGUAUUCAAAAUAUGAAUAAAAUUUCGUAUUAAGUUU